GCAAUCACGUGAUAGAAAGAAUUCGCAUAUUUGCACGUGCUGUUUUUCCGGAAUUCCGCAACGCCGUCAAAUAAAAGUCUCCAUUUACACAUUGUUGUCCCUGCUACAAGAUGGCCGACGAAGCAAUCGAGAAAUUUCCUCGAUUUAAAAGACAAAUUUGACAUACAUAUUAAACCUUUACGGUUCUCGAAAUUGAAACAUCUUCAUGAGAAUCAAAAAUAGAAGUGAGACUGAAACCGACCAUGACCAUAAUUUUGGUGAAACUACUCCUUGUCCAGUGUCCACUGCAGCACCACGUGGGUACACCGGUAUCGAUCUGUGCCAGAUGUUGAUUUCAAUAAAGACAUUAAAGACUAUGACCCUACAGAUGUUAAUUAGUAUGACGGAAGAAGUAAAAUUUUUGCAGAACAGAUUUUUUGUUUGCUGUGUCCAUGUCAGAUACAUAAGGUGAAGCAAGCUAUGGACUAGACAGUGUAUUCAGCUUUCUCUGCUGAAGUAAUGUGACCAAAUCAAGUGUCACCUGGAAAGAGGAAUGUCAAGGGUGAUUAACAUUAACUCCAAGAUAGCCAUUGGAAACUUCAAGCAAAAUCUGCUACAGCAAACUCAAACAUAAAGUGGCAUAACGAGGAAUAUUUAUGUCUGGACUGAGAAUCUAACGGAAGAUCCCUGUAUCACUAGUUAGAUCCCACGGAAAUAUAGGAUCCUUUACUAAUCAAGUGUCAUCUGCAGUGUUACAAAAGAAUAUUGGAUUUAUAUCAAUAAGAAAAAAGAACUACCAGAAGGAGACAGUAAAGGGGAACGGACAUAUCACACCAUAAGACAUGCUUCAAUAUCUGAAUAUACAGAAUGAAUUUUGCUCACUGCAGAUCCUUGUCAAAGAACACCUUUGUUGUAUUGACAUAAAAACAAAGGAAUUGUCAGGAUUCUUGAACAUGACAAAACUGACUGCAUACAAUGGCAAUUAAAAAAUGCAUUCAUGUUCACAUUGAUCUUUGUUAGCCAAUUAGAAAAAAAGCAAAAUAGCAAGUUUAUCCUAUUACCAUACAUGUAUUGAAUGUAUUCACUAUAUUUUGUUGAACUACAUCAUGAGUUUAAAAAUUGUACAGUAUCAUAUACAGUUUAUGGUGGGAUUCCUCUAACUUUUAUGAAUCUGUGUGCAAAAUCUUUACUUUAAAGUUACAAAUUAUUACCUCUGAUACAUUGUAUGUUUUCUUAGUAAAUUAUUACAGUAUUUUUGUAAGUAUGAAAUGAAAACCGAAUCACUCUCCAUUUUCCCACACUUUUUACCAUGUGAUGCUCCAGUGUAUUGAUAUCUAACAACUGAUGACCAGGCAGUCUUCAUUUUACAGUGUAAUGCAUAACACAUUGUUAUCUAAAUAUUUUUAAAACAAAGAUAACAUGCCAUGGAUUGAUUCUGCAUACAAAACUUCAUAAUCACUG